rnacentral:rRNA from 1 species
AUUGAACUCGCUGUGAAGAUGCAGUGUACCCGCGGCAAGACGGAAAGACCCCGUGAACCUUUACUAUAGCUUGACACUGAACAUUGAGCCUUGAUGUGUAGGAUAGGUGGGAGGCUUUGAAGUGUGGACGCCAGUCUGCAUGGAGCCGACCUUGAAAUACCACCCUUUAAUGUUUGAUGUUCUAACGUGGACCCGUGAUCCGGGUUGCGGACAGUGUCUGGUGGGUAGUUUGACUGGGGCGGUCUCCUCCUAAAGAGUAACGGAGGAGCACGAAGGUUGGCUAAUCCUGGUCGGACAUCAGGAGGUUAGUGCAAUGGCAUAAGCCAGCUUGACUGCGAGCGUGACGGCGCGAGCAGGUGCGAAAGCAGGUCAUAGUGAUCCGGUGGUUCUGAAUGGAAGGGCCAUCGCUCAACGGAUAAAAGGUACUCCGGGGAUAACAGGCUGAUACCGCCCAAGAGUUCAUAUCGACGGCGGUGUUUGGCACCUCGAUGUCGGCUCAUCACAUCCUGGGGCUGAAGUAGGUCCCAAGGGUAUGGCUGUUCGCCAUUUAAAGUGGUACGCGAGCUGGGUUUAGAACGUCGUGAGACAGUUCGGUCCCUAUCUGCCGUGGGCGCUGGAGAACUGAGGGGGGCUGCUCCUAGUACGAGAGGACCGGAGUGGACGCAUCACUGGUGUUCGGGUUGUCAUGCCAAUGGCACUGCCCGGUAGCUAAAUGCGGAAGAGAUAAGUGCUGAAAGCAUCUAAGCACGAAACUUGCC